GKKGGGGAAUUCGGCAGAGAUGCCUUAGUGCCUUCGGGAACCGUGAGACAGGUGCUGCAUGGCUGUCGUCAGCUGUGUGKGAAAUGUUGGGUUAAGUCCCGCAACGAGCGCAACCCUUAUCCUUUGUUGCCAGCGGUCCGGCCGGGAACUCAAAGGAGACUGCCAGUGAUAAACUGGAGGAAGGUGGGGAUGACGUCAAGUCAUCAUGGCCCUUACGACCAGGGCUACACACGUGCUACAAUGGCGCAUACAAAGAGAAGCGACCUCGCGAGAGCAAGCGGACCUCAUAAAGUGCGUCGUAGUCCGGAUUGGAGUCUGCAACUCGACUCCAUGAAGUCGGAAUCGCUAGUAAUCGUGGAUCAGAAUGCCACGGUGAAUACGUUCCCGGGUCUUGUACACACCGA
rnacentral:rRNA from 2 species